rnacentral:lncRNA from 1 species
AGGAGUUAGCCACAGGGAGGGCCGCGGGCCUGGGCUGAGUUGUGGGGGAGGAGGUGGCAGUUUAGGGCCUCAGGGGACAUAUGGGGGCGGUGACAGAGUCAGGCGAUACUGGCGGGCUGGGGGUGGGAGUGUGCCUGCUGGAGGCAGGUUAGAGGGGAGACUAGACCUUAGGGAAGUCUUGCAGGGCAUAGCUGCCUCGAAAGGGCCCGCAGGAACCCGGGGAGAGGAGCAGACUCCAGGCCUGGGUGUCGCUGCUGCCCGCUGGAGAAGGGGAACUUGACCCCUGGGAGGGGGCCGAUUCCGCGUAGGCUGGGCGGCCCCCUGUGCCCUGCUUUGUCUGACGGAGGGAGGCAGAGACUGGAGGAGGCUGAGGGUCUCGCCACCCUUGCUGGAGGCGAUAUCUGGCCGUCGAUGCCCUGAACAUGAGCAAGAAGGCAGGCCGUGGGGUGCGGGGUCGCAGUUAGGCUGGGAAGGCAGCACUUGAACUUGUCAAUACCAGCCGCCCCCUUUUUUUCCAGACAAAGGGGUGUGAGCCCGCCUGGGGAUGAGGCCUGGUGUGGUGGCAACUGACCUUAGCUUCGCGGGCUGACAGCUCUGGCCCAGGGCGGUGGCAGUGCUCCCUUUUGGACUUUUCCUGUAGGUUCCGUGCUAACCUCUUCUUGUUCAUCAUGGCGAGCUGAUGGCACCAGGAGGAUGGAGCCUCUGGCCAGUGUGAGUCGUAGCAGUGCAGGAGGGGAGACCCUGGAGGAGAGAGCCCGCCUAAAUUGAUGUCUGCAGAUUGAAUUUCCAGAGGCUUAGGAGGAGGAAGUUCUCCAAUGUCCCGUGUCCAGGCCUUGGCUCAGGAAGCCCUGUAUUCAGGAGGCCACCCUUUAAGGGUGUCAAUGAGCUUGUGAAAGGGUGAUGGUUCCAAGUCCCAAGCAGAUGCAUCCGGGGUCGUCAGCAGAUGUGUUGAGUGUUUGAUCCGGAGCACCAACCUCUGGGCACGUUGAAUGCCAGCAGGCACCUCUCCUGUUCGGGGGUGGAGGUUUUCCGAUGGCUGCGUCUUCUAAUGCCUCCUGUCAUGCUAGUUCUGUGCUACGAACCUUGCUUCCAGAAGACUCUUAAGAUGUAGAACAUUUUAACGCUGAUGCCUCAACGCAGAGUGAUGCCUGGUAGAUGGAGCUUGCAGAUGGAGCCCAGGGACCCUGUCAUCUACUCACCUGCCUGCCCCAGCCUCGGUCGGAGGAAUUCUUAGUGUGAUGAUGUAACCUGUGUGUCCAGAAAGUGUUCACUGUUGAAACGCCUUAGGCCAAUACUCACAGGAAGCCACCUGGC